UCAGGCGACCGAAAACGAGCGGCUGAGUGUGGCUUCCGUUUUCACCGAGCGUCCAUGAGCGCCUGCCAUUGUUCAUCGAGUGCGAGCUUCCAUUACACAUCGACCUGCUCCAUCAUCCGCUGACCACCUUGAUGCCAUGCCCUGGUCACGACGUGGUGCCGCUGCUCAGGCCACCGCCAACCACAACAACCUCAUGUUGUUGCUCUAGCCGCUGGCCGCUCACCAAAUCACCAAAUUGGUAACUAAAAUGUGAAGCACAUGCUUCUGCUGCCGAUAAUGAUGCGCCGCCAACUUGCCAUGGUCAAGGUUACCACAAAGUUUGCAAUCAAAUUUGGAGCCGCUCUUGUUCAUAUUUGGAUCUGGAUGUGUGGUCAUGGUUUAUUACGGUUUACGUUUUCUCAACUUGACUGCGUGUUUUCCCUUUGACGUUUUCCAUCAGCCACAUGCUUCAAACUAGUUGAAACCAGAAAACAAUUUGGAUUCAUGCGCAAACAGACCCUUUCUCUUCUGCUCCGACCGCCUGUCUUCUUGCUGAGGUGUUCUUUUCGAGAGUUCUGGAAAGGGUGAGGAGGGGAGGCGAUUUCGAGACAGGCGAUCCCCUUGUCAGCUGCGAGAGUCGCGCGGGGCGCGCCACCUCCGUCUCGCUUGAUUUGACGAGGCGAAGGCAGCGAGGCACCGAGGAGGCCCGCGUGGUUUCGCAGUUCGUGGUCGGGGGGUUCUGCCGCUUCUUUUUUUUCGUGUGAGUUGUCCCAGUUCUCGAGAGGUUACUGCUUUCUCUUGUUGUACAGGGGUGGUUGCUGGAUUACCCACCACUGCAGCUGAUUUGUGGUUGGGGGACGGGGGGCAGGCAGUUUGGGGUGCUCAGAGUUUCUGUGUAGAACAUUGCAGGGGUACCGGCGGAUGUACCUGGGCAUCAAGCGACGCCGGAUCUGAUGGAGAGGGAUUUAGUUCAGAAUCCAUAUUUGAUUUCUCUAAUUAUGUUCCUGCCAAUCGACAUGGUCCUGCAAAUGCUGGCAGCCCUCCAUCUGUUGAUCCAGUAAGUGUUUUUGUGCUGUUGUAGUUCUUUUGCCCUCAUGCUUCUUUUAUCUCUCUGCGAUGUGUGCCAUUCUUAAUUCCACAGCGAGUGAUUCUGCCUUUUUCUGUUGCAAAUUCUAUUUUUGUUUUACUAUCAUGCUUUGUCGAUUGGUGCUUUAUUUAUGUUUUUUUCAAUUUGAUAGGGCACCUCUUUUAAAGAGACAGUUGUUAGCCAAAUUGAAUGUGCGGAUCAACUGAUUUGUUCUGACGCUUCUAAGAUUGCAGGAUUUGUUAAUGAAGCAUGCCUACCAGGUAUUGUCGAUGAUAUUUCAUACAAGUUAGAAUCAAAAUCUGUCCGUGAUCGGGGUUUUACACCGGGCAUCAAUCUUCAAUAUGUUCCUUCUGGUUCAUCGCCACGUGGUCUAGAAGAAUCCAUGGCAAUCCAUUCUGACAAUUUUGCUUCUAAAACUGCACGUACUGUGUUGUGCUUUAUAUUUUUUUAUUUGCAAUGUUCCAACUCUAUCAAAAAUUCUUAAUUUGCAUUUCCAUCAAAUGUUAUUUGCAUCUCUACAACCGUUGCAAUUUAAAUGUACGCAUUCUGCAAGUGCUAUCCUAUUUAAUAUUAAUUGCAAUUUUGCAAUCACUAUCGCUGUUAUUUUAUCUUCUUUCUUUGUUUGUGUUUUUUGUUCUAUGCAAGAUGAAACUUUUGUUGUUGAUUAUGCAGCCACUUUGCCUUCUUUAAUUUCAGAUGCUUUGGAAGUUGCUUGUUCUUAUGUUUUUACUGGAUAAUGUCAAAAAAAAAAAAUCAUAUGAUACAAAGGUGUAUUCUAGUUGUCAUGAUUGGUUAAUUUAUGCGUACUUAUCCUUUCUUUAGAAGGCCAGCCUUCUUUUGUUCCGAUUUUUGUUAAAUGCACUCUAACAUGGUUAUCAAUAUGGCUUUUGAUUUCUUGGUUAGAUUUUAAUGCUACAAAACCCGAGCCUGAGGAUGAUUCGAAGUUAGAUGCCCAGCCUGCCAUACAUGCCCCAUCUGUCACUGUUGCUAUCGAGGUAAACGUAUCAUAUAUGGGAAAUACUGAUUUAAAUUUUGGCAAAGCAUGCAAUGGUAAUGUUCUUGCCAUAUUGACGUUAUAAAUUUUUAAUUUUCAACAUUGUCAAUCGUCGAAAUUCGUAAUUGCACUUCAGUUGAAUUUUAUUUGCAUCUCUACUACUAUUGCAAUUCACGUCUAUGCAUUAUGCAAUUGAUAGCCUCUGUAAUAUCAAUUGCAAUCUCGCAAUCUCUAUGCCUUCUAAUAUCUCUUAUCUAUCUUUUUUCUGCUUUUCAAUCUUUUUUGGAACAUGAAGUCCCUGCUGCUGAUUGUGCAGCCUGACUGUUGUAUUUAAGUUCAGGUGCUUCGAAUGCUUCUUCUUCUGAACUUUUUAAGGGCUCUCCUACUUGUUAUAUCAAAAGUACUAAUUGUUAAUCUAGUGUAUGGAAGCAGCUUUCUUGUGUCUGAUCUUUCAAUGCAAUUUUAACAUGGGUUCUCUGUGCCGUUAUGAUUUCUUUUGUACAUUCCGAUGCUAAAAAUUCAUUACCUGUGAUUGGUUUGAGGUCAUCUGCCCAACAUGCCAUUUUUUGCCCCAUCUGUCACUGCUGUUGCAGAGGGAAAUGUAUCAUCUAUGGAAACUACGGAUUUAAACACCGACAAACCAUCCAAUGUCUUUAUUUGAAGAUGAAGCCCCUGCUGUUGAUUUCGCAGCCCCAUAGCAGUCUUUAAGUUCAGGUGCUUUGAACACUGCUUCUUCUGAACUUUCACUAGAAAAUGUCAGUAAAUUUUCUUACAGUUCAAAGGGGUACUAUACUUGUGAUAACAAAGAUCUUAAUGCUAAAAACUCGGACUGCAAGAAUGAUUCCAAGUUAUCUGAACAACCUGUUAUAUCUGUGCCAUCUGGCCUAUGCUGCCGAUUUAAAUAUCGGCAACCAUGCAAUGGAAAAACGAUCUUAGCCACCCCUCCCCCCACGGCCCUACAAUUUGAUUUAGAAGGUCACAAUAACCAAGAUAAGCUCAAUGUUUGUCCUUUAUUUAUGUUUUUACGGAAAAUCUAUUUACAUCGCACUUACUUUCAAAUCAACCGAGAGAAGCUCCAUGUAAGCCCCUUCUCUCUACUUUUCAGGAAUUUAAUUAAACUGCACUCCUCCACUUGUUGCAACAGCAGCUAUUUCAAACUGCAAUUGCAUAUAUUAGCUUGCUAUAUAUGUCCUCUUUUGUAUUCUAUUGUUUAUGGAACCUAUUUAUUUGCACAGCCUUUUCAAUUACACGCACUCCAUUUACUUUUGCAAUUGGUAGUCUUUUAAGUUGCAAUUUGCAAAUUGAAUGUCGUAAAACCUGUUUGAUUAAAUGCAAUUCAAUUACACUCCAUUGAUCUCAAUUUUUUUAUGAAGUAACUGGUAAAAUUGCGGUAUAUAGAGGCUUUAGUAGCCCAGCCAUCUUAAUAUGUUCUUUUGUUUGUGCAUGGCCAUGUUAGUUUUCUCUCAACUUUUGGCUAAAUUCCCUGAUUCAAUAGCUGGUUGUUCCAAUUGUGCAUGCCUCUGCCUUCUAGUGGAAGUGGCAUCUGUUCUUCAUCUCUGAAAAUAGUGGUAACACUCAAAACAUUAACACCUAUGGAAUUGUGUCCCUUGCUUUGUUCACGUGUCUUCUGAUUUCGGGAGUUACUAAAACGGGGGUCGUGCUGGGAGAGCAAGGCUCGAAGGCAAGGGGGGAUAAGAGAAUUGCGAAGACAAACCUUCAUGCAUGUGGAUUCAGUCCAUACUCUUCAUCAACUUUUUUGCCCCUGUAUCUUGGGUUCUGAUCUGGGUGGUUUCGAUCAUCCGACUGGUGUGUUUUUAUCAGUUAGAUUUGAUCGGCCGAACGGCGGCGGGGUUUUCUUAAUCCAAUUGCACUGAGUUUUAAUUGUAGCUGCACUUCGACUACUGUUGCAACUGAGUGGGGUCAAGUGUGCAACUGCAAUUUUUUAUUUUGGUUUUUCCAUUCUUUUGGUUUUGAUACAUUUUUUCACCGGCUGCACUUGAACCAAUUGCAGUAUUUUCUUUUUUGCAAUUCUACCUACCCAAGGUGCAAUUGCAAGGAUUUAAGCUUCUGUUUUUAGGAACCUUCUUUAUGGUCUCUUCUUUAUGUGUAUACAAGCCCAGGCAGUGUAUAAUACAUAUAGACACAAAGCCCAGGCCAGUACCCAGCCCCAGUACAUAAUAGGAACAAACGUUCUAAAUUUCUGGAGGGAAAACACAAAAGUCUUGGUUUUAUUUCUGUCCAUUAGAUGUAUGAUGUGGGGCUUAGAAAAAUGUGACUGGUUUAUGUUCCAAAACCAGGCGCCUGGUUUGGAAACCAAAACCAGGCGCCUAGGGGAUAGACAGACCCCAGGCCCUGCUGGCUGUUCUGGUUCGGCACUCUGCAUCUUCUUAUAUUUUCCUGAUAUUCAGCUACCUGUACUCUGAGCUUGAUUUGCUCUAUUUCUCUCAUGCCACCAGAUCCAUAGCAGUACACACUUCUUCCGUUCUUCGUACAUGUAUUCUCAUCCAGUUCAAGAUUUUUUUUUUGGGUAAAAGGGAUUUUCCUGGCGCGCCACAUGUACCACACUGGCAAAUGUGAGCUGCAAAUGUUGAACCUUUUUUUUCGGGUGUGAUCUGACAUUUUUUUUUCGGGUAAAGGGAUUUGCAAGUCGUAGAAGUGUCUGCAGGGGCGGGUAUGAUCCUAAGUCAAAGGCACAACAGGGACGUCUUCAGUUUCCAGCUCACAGAUAGAGCAAAUGCCAGUCACGCCCAUGCUCCGACAUCGCUUAUUUUCUUCAGUGGCCAAGGCAUUGCUGGCUGCCUUCCACGCGAAAACCUUGACCUUUGGAGGCGCACCACGCUUCCAAAUCCUAUCCCAGCACGGAUCAGACCCGUCUGGACGAGCACUCGAUGCCCCACGAGCGGAAAAUUGUUGAACUGAAUCAACACCCAAGUUGUAUGCGCUUCUAACAGUGAAGAUUCCAGAUUUCUCCGGCUGCCAAGUAAGUCCGGGGCAUCAUGAGGGGACGUGCGGAUCCGCAGAAUAGCAUCACAAUCCACCGGGAGAAAUGUUUGUCGCACCAGUGUCUGAUUCCAAGCAUCGUUCUCAUCCAGGAGGUCAGAAACCCACCUGAUCCUGCACCUCCCAAGAUUAGUGACAGGCCGAAGAGAAAGAAACUCCCUUUGUUCCUCUAAAAAUGUUGUAGUAUUAGUUUUCAUUAAGACAAGACUUCAACCACAAAUAUUUCAAAGUGAAAGGUUGGUUGAAUAAGUGGUGAACUCUCGCAUAGUGCAUUGCAUUGCAUAUUUGCAUUCAUUCUGUUUAUUAAAACAAUAUUUCCAUCUCCUGGGUUCCAUUUGGUAAUAGUUUCAUAGUUCAAAUUUUAGCUUUUCUUCAGCCUGAAUCCAGUGGUGAUAGCUUAGCAUGAAUGAAUGGUUUGGUACAAUAUGGUUGCAAGUUAACUGCUCAGAGAGAUGUUCCUGGCCAAGUUCAAAAUUCUUGCUCAAUCCAUUGUAUUAUCCUGAGACAUUUUUUUUUGUUUCGUUAUCUUUGCCUUGAUGCUGAUUGAAAAUUAGGAAGUUUUCACUUGAGGACAAGCAAAAAUUCAGAUGUGGGGGGAUGAUCAGCAUCAUUAUUUAACUGUUAAUCACUCAUUUUAUGAAGCUAAACUCCCACUUUGUGCUUAAUUGAGCCCUUAAUUAAUGCUUAACACAUGACUAACUCUUGAGCAUAUUUACAUGCUUAGUGUAAUUAUUGCAGAUCUGUGCGUCUAGGCACAAAUUUUUCAUCUUGGAGGGAGGAAAUCAGAAGAAAGCCAAUUAAAUCAUCACCUGCAAGUCCCUAAAGGAUCUUCUUGGGCAGAAUUGUGACUAGUUGAAGGGGCUUCUUGCAAAAAGCCCAACCACUCCGUGGAACCAGAAGGAGAAAGGAGAAGAGGAGAAGAGAAAAGAGGAGAGAUGGAAGCCAUGGAUGGGGAGGAAGCUCUGUGCUCGUGGAAUUGAAGCCCUGAAGAUCUGUUUCUUCCCUGUCUUCUUCUUGCUUCUUCUUCUCAAGCAAAUCGGUGACAAGCUCACAAUCUUCCUUGUCUAGCUCUUUCCUUCCUCCAGGAAACAGUGCUUAGAUCUGUUGUUAUUGUGCUGAAUUCUGUGUGAAUUGUUGAGCUAGUUCAAGUUCUUGUUGUUAAAUUUAGUGAAAUUCAGUUAAGUAUUCUAGUUUCAGUUGAUGGGCUGUCAGGUUUAGAUUCAAAGUAAUUCCUCUCUGAUC